GAUGAAGAACGCAGCGAAAUGCGAUAAGUAAUGUGAAUUGCAGAAUUCAGUGAAUCAUCGAAUGUUUGAACGCACAUUGCGCCCGCCAGUAUUCUGGCGGGCAUGCCUGUUCGAGCGUCAUUACAACCCUCAGGCCCCCGGGCCUGGCGUUGGGGAUCGGCGGAGCCCCCCGUGGGCACACGCCGUCCCCCAAAUACAGUGGCGGUCCCGCCGCAGCUUCCAUCGCGUAGUAGCUAACACCUCGCGACUGGAGAGCGGCGCGGCCACGCCGUAAAACACCCAACUCUUCUGAAGUUGACCUCGAAUCAGGUAGGAAUACCCGCUGAACUUAAGCAUAUCAAUAAGCGGAGGA
rnacentral:misc_RNA from 1 species